rnacentral:rRNA from 1 species
GACGUAGGGCGCGAGCGUUGUCCGGAUUUAUUGGGCGUAAAGAGCUCGUAGGCGGUUUGUCGCGUCGACUGUGAAAACCCGUGGCUCAACCAUGUGGUCUGCAGUCGAUACGGGCAGGCUAGAAUUCGGUAGGGGAGACUGGAAUUCCUGGUGUAGCGGUGAAAUGCGCAGAUAUCAGGAGGAACACCGGUGGCGAAGGCGGGUCUCUGGGCCGAUAUUGACGCUGAGGAGCGAAAGCGUGGGGAGCGAACAGG